rnacentral:lncRNA from 1 species
CAUAAUAUUAACAAUACAAAUAAUGAAAAAAGAAAAAUAGACAUUUGUCUGCAGCUUCCUCAACGAGCAAUCCAGCCGUUUCCCUCACCAUCAUCCUCAUCCUCAUGUAUUGAUGCUCGUGCAAGUUGGAAAAACACACAUGAGUGUAGAACAUACAUAAUCUAUUAUGAAGCAUCAUAUACACAUACAUUUGAAACUCAGUGAAGAAGCAUGAAACAACCUUCACAUACAUCUCAUCAUACACUACACAACACAUUUGAAAUCAAGCAAAAGCAACAUACAUACAUGGAGCAUUUGGGGACCACAAGACUCAUGCAUUUAUCACCAAAUAAAACUCACAUUUCCACUGCAUUUCAAUUUGAAUUCCAACAAACUAAAAACCUUAGAAUCCAGCAAAUCGAGCAAACAAACUAAACAACACUAGUUCACUCCCCUUUCCAUAUUUGACCAUGCGUUGGGCUUCCCUCUUUAGGCCCAAGUUGUUUACACCCCCAUUUAUGCCUUUUUUUUUAACUUUGGAUUAUUUUUAUGCCUUUAUGUUUUUUCUCUCUCAUUAUUUUUCAUGACAUUUAAUUGGGCCUUGGCCCAUAUAUUUGCUAUUUGCUAGCCUCAUAAAAAUCAUGCACCCAUUCAUUUCACUUUUGUUUUUUUCCAUUAUUUAAAUUAAUUAAUUGUGUUUGUUUUUAAUUAAUUAAUUUUGCUAAUUGAAUUUAAUUAACAUUUCUAAUGAUUAAAUUAUUUCGUUUGAUCAAUUAGUUAUGAUAAUCAAUUUUAAUUAAUUUAAUUAAUUUAUUUAAUCAAAUCUUAAUUAGUUAAUUUUACAUUUCUCAUUUGUUUGUUUAUUUGCUCCAUCAUAUCUGUCAUGACCAUGCAUUCACACAUACCACUUUUGCCUAUUUAGAAUUAUAUUGUAUUUCAUCAUUAUUAUUUUCAUCUGUUUAGUAAAUUAAAUAGAAUGAAUAAUUAGUAAUGACGAUAAAUACAUUUUCUAAGUUAAAAAUCCUUGGUCCAACGCCAAGUGAAUUUUCAAAGCACGAUUCACUUUGAACCAUUUUCACAAUUCGCGUCGCAAUGCAAAUCAAACACUUGACCCAACAUCUAGCUCUUUUCUCACUCAAAAUCAAAACGAUUAAUUCAUACUUUGACCACUUUCAACAAUAAUGGAAGAAAACAACUACUUUGGUGAAAUGUCCAAUCAUAGUUCUGAUUAUUAGAUCCAAGUUAUAAUAGCUUGCAAGUCAUAAAUAUAUGUCUUCCUCCAAACCUUCAAAUGCAUCUCCUUUUCAAAAUAAAUUGAAAGAAAAAGACCAUUUGGGUGUAAUGUCCAGUCAUACUCCCGAACACUAAGCCCGAGCCGUAAUAGCUUACAAGCCCGAGUGUUUGUAUUUCACUCAUAAAUAUUCUAAACUCUUUCAUAACAAGUUGGAUCAAAACGACUACUUGGGUGUAAUGUGUAACACCCCAAUUUUAGUAAUUUAUUUUAUGUAAGUCAUUUUGAUUUAAUUGUGCAUUUUUAUGAUUAUUUUGUUGUUAGGUGUCAGUGGGGUAUGAAUCCUUGAAAGGGGAGAAUAAUUAAAGGAUUGUGACCAUAUGAUUAUUCUAGAAUAAUUUAGAGUUAUUUUAGAUAAUUAUAAUAAUGAUUUAAUUGAUUAUUUAAUUAAAUAUUAAGAAAAAAAGAGUGUGUAUAGAGUUUGAAGGUAAUGUGGUAAUUAUAAUGUUAAGUUGAGGAUAGAAUAGGGAAAGUCUAUUGGGAGAAAGAGGGUUACUAGAAAAAAGGGAAUUCGAAAAAAGGAAUGAUAUUUUUAUCGUACUUAUAAAUUUAGAGAAAAGAGAAGGAAGUCUAGGGCAAGAGGCUAAACAUGAUCUAAAGAAAAAGAGUGAAGGCUCCGCUUCCGAAUUUUUGCAAGGAACUCAGGUAAGGGGGAAUUUGUUUUAAUAGUAAAGGGUAUGGUAGAAGGGUAGAAUGGAGGGACCCUUAACCUCCUUAGGGUUGGGUGUUCUAGAUCUAAAUUAUGGUUUCCACGUUAUAAUUGUUGAUUGCAUGAUGAAUUUGGUGUGAAGUACAUGUAUCCUAUGUAUGCAUAUGUUUGUUUGAUGUUGUUGAUGAUGUUAUGCCAAUGAUUGAUGUUUGAAGGUUUAACCUUGAUUUGUGUUAUUUGGUGAAUUAGAGAUGAUGAAUAUGAUGAUAUAUUGUAAUAUGAUAUUGGUUCAUGAAAACUAUAGAGUAAUUGAUGAAUUAGGAAGCUAUAACCAUGAUAAAUAGGAUUUUAUAUUUGAUGGACUUUCGUUGCAUAAGUUUCUGGUACAUGAUGGAGUAUUUGGAUGGUCUAAAAAUUGAUUUUUGGGAAAAUUUCGCAUUAUAGGUCGACCUAUGAAGAUCAUGUGCCGACCUGUAUAGGUCAUAGGUCGACAUAUGCAGUUAGCAGAUAAGACAAAAUGUGCACGCUUUAAAAAUGUAGUAUAUGUUCCGACCUGAAAAGGUCAUGUGCCAACCUGUACGAGUCAUGUGUCAACACAUAACUGCUAGAAUGUUGUUUAUAGCAUUAUUCGACGAUUUUGGCCAUAACUUUUGAUCUGUAUAUCCAAAUGAUGUGUCACUUAAAGCGUUAGAAAGUUAACACUCAGAUAUAUAAUGUGACAGUGAUAGGUGAAUUGUUUUAGUACUAUUCAUAUGCCUACCGUGUUGGUGAAGUUUUUGUUCAUAUGGUCGAUUAAUAAAUUGUUGACAUAUCCCGACGAUUUUGGUCAUAACUUUCAUUCCGUAAGUCCAAUUUUGAUGUCAUUUGAAGUGUUAGAAAGCUAAAAAUAAGACUUAUAACUGGUAGUGAUUGUAUAGAUGUUUGAAUAUUAUUAACAUGCCUAAUAUGUUAAUAAAUGUUUUCAUUUAUAUGUUUUGUUGAUGAAUCAUUGCAUUAUUGUGAUAUUGUGGUGUGAUAAUGAUGUUGUUAUGUUAAUGAUGUUAUGAUAAUAAUGUUAAGGUGUUGAUGAGUUGUUGUUGUUUGUUGAUAUUAUUUACAUGGUAUCAUGAAUUGAUUGUUGCAUGAUGAAUGAUGUGAUGCAUAAAUGAUGAGAUAUGUGUGGGGAUCUUUUUGGUGAAUCUUGAUGUGUUAAUGCAUGUCAUUAAAGAGUCAUGGAUCAUGGCGUACAAGUUACGGUCCAGUGUUGGUGAGCCUCGACCCUAUGGUGAUAGAUCAGGUGCGAGUAGCUAAUUCCUAUUGUGUGGGAUUAGUGAAGUGUUACCUAUGGCGAUGGUAACGCGUUUUGGUGAGCCUCAAUCCUAUUGUGAUGGAUUAAGUGCGAGUAGCUAAUUCCUAUUAUAGGGAAUUAGUGAAGCGUUACAUAUGGUGAUGGUAGUGAUUUUGGUGUGCUCCGAUUCCAAGAGGGAAUUGAUCCUAUAGUGGGGAUCAUGGAGUGAAAAGAACUUGAGUCUUCAUAUUUGGUACCACAUGCAUGUUGAGUUGGUGUUGAGUAUAUUGCAUAAGUGUUGCAUUUGUAUUGAUUGUUGUGAUAUAUUAUUGGAUGAGAUGCUAUUGCAUAUGUUGUUAAUGAUAAUUGAGACGUUGUUGCAUAUGAUGUUAAUGAUAAUUGAGAUGUGGUUAUGUAUGAUGUUGAUGAUAAUUGAGAUGUUGUCGUGUAUGAUAUUGAUGAUGAAUUUGUGUGAGAAUGUGACAUAUUAGUGUGCAUGAUUGUGUAGAUGUUAUACUAUAUUCUUUAUGUUAUACCAUUUAUUAUUGAAAUGAAUUCUUACCCUUUCUGUUUGAAUGUUGUCUUUACAAGGGCAUCAUGCAAAAUACUCAGGAGUAGCAUCGUUGGAAUAAGUGGAAGGUGUCUCUUGGUGCGGCUUCCCAUAGUUUUGUAUUUUUUCUUUAGUAGAGUCUUGCUCUGGUCAAUGUAACAUCGGGAUGAGGAUGUUUGUUUUCAUUUUUUUGUUUUGUUUAAGUCAUUAUUUAUGAUUGGUGAGAUUCGAUAUUUUGAUAAGUUGAAUUUAUAACUCGUUUGGGGCGUUGUGAAAGUUGGAGUUUUGAGACUGUAUACCUUGGGUUGUAAUUGAUAUGUUAAAUUGAUUUGAUAAUGUUUUGUUGCAAUGAUACCAUAAGUAAAGGUGAGAAUGUGAUGAUAGGUUUAUGUGAUGUUUUAUAACCCGUGUUACAUAGCAGGAUUUAUUUUUGGUGUGUGUGACACCCUUGUGGUUUUGAUUUUAAUUGAGUUAUGUCAUAAUUAUAUAUUGUGUUUAGAAGGUGUUACAUUAGUGGUACCAGAGAAGGUCGGUCCGUCCGGCCAGAUUGUUCAAGUAUGUUUGUUCCCUAGUAUGCGACAUGCGUGUGAAAAAAUGUCGAUGCUUGUUUCGUUUUUCAUUUGCAAGUUAGGAAUGAAACAAGUGGGGGAGAAGCGUCUGCUUCUCUUGAAUAUUCCAACUAUAGAGAGCUUGGACAUCAUGUUACUGGAAGUGAGAGUGCAAUGUCAGCUAGUUCACCUGUUUUGAGAAUGUUGUGAUUUUCCUGAACCCAAAGGGAGGUAGGAUUCGAGGAUGGUGUCCGUUAGCAAAUGGUGUGAUCCUUGAAAGAGGACGCUCAAGUGUUCUUGUUGGUCUCUUCCUUGUGAGGGGGAUGGCAAUGUUUUGGCUAGAGAUUAGCCAGUGGUGUGUUAAGUAUCUUUACGUGUUCUCUAAGGACGUGUACGAUUUGUACUUUGUUGGAACAAAUUGAGGUUAUUCUUGGAAUUAAUUGGUUGAAGUUAAACCAAGUGUUUACCAAUUGUUUUGAUAAGUUGGUACAGUGUGCUACUGAUUGCAAGAGCUCAGGCAAUGUCAAAGUUGUUUUGAUCCCGACACUGAAGAUGUUGUGGAUUCGAGAUUCCUAUUUGCUGGUAAAAUUGGGAUGUCUUUAGGGAAAACGGUCAGGUAUUGUUGAUGUUUACUUAUCGGAUAAUAUAGAGAAACGUGAUGGCUAGUGUUAUACCAGUGGUAUGUAAUCCCUAAUGUUUUCCUAAAGAUAUCUGCGACUUGCCUCCAGAGCGUGAAUCUGAGUUUGAUGGAGGUGAAGAGUUGAUGUCUGUAUCAGCUAAGCAAGUGACAGAGUUCGUGAAGGAUGAGGCGCAAGUGUUAGUGAUGUUAGCUUUGUUGGAAGCCAGAUGCAAUGAAGUGGUUCGUGAUCUUCCUGCAGUGUUUGAAUUUUCGGAAGUGUUUCUUGAAGACAUCAGUGAUUUGCGGCCAUAAUGCAAAUUUGAGUUUUCUAUAGACUUAGUACCUGGUACUAGCCCGAUGUGGAUGACUCCUUAUAGGGUUUCUAUUUAAGAGUUGGGUGAAUUGAAUAAGAAACUGGAAAAUCUGCUUGAGAAGAAGUUUGUUUAUCCAAGUGUUUCAUCGUGGGGUGUGCUGAUGUUAUUAGUCAAGAAGAAGGAUGGUAGUAUGAGGCUAUGCGUGAAACAUAUGAGAAUUGUAUUGCAGGCAUUGAAGGAGAACCAGUUGUACGCAAAGUUUUCCAUGUGCAAGUUCUGGUUAAGAGAAGUGAGUUUCCUUGGUCAUUUGAUUUCUAGGGGUGGUAUAUUGUAAUGCUUCGAAGAUAGGUCUGGGAGGUGUGUUGAUGCAGAAUGGCCAGGUUGUGGCUUAUGCUUUGAGGCAUUUGAGAGUUCAUGAAAGGAAUUACCCUACACAUGAUCUUGAGUUGGCAACAGUGGUAUUCGUCUUGAAGAUUUGGAGGCACUACCGUUUGGCUCCAAAUCAGAAGUAUUCAGUGAUCCCAAGAGUCUAGAAUAUAUUUUUAAUCAGAAUAAUUGAAUAUAAGGCAGAGGAGAUGUCUUGAACUCCUAAAGGAUUAUGAUUUUGAUUUGAGUUACCAUCUAGGUAAAGCUAAUGUUGUAGUUGAUGCGAUGAGUAGGAAGUCUUUACACAUGUUGAUGUUUAUGGUUCGAGAGUUAGAACUGAUUGAACAAUUCAGAGAUGUGAGUUUAACAGUGUGAAGUUGGGUAUGUUGAAGCUGACGAGUGGUAUCCUUGAAGAGAUCAGAUACCUGAUUUGAGUUUGAUAUAUCAUCUCACGUUAAUCAACCAAGGCAACAUAGGUGGUUUCCGAUUCGAUGAGAAUGGUGUGAUGAGGUUCAGAGAUAGAGUUUGUGUUCCUGAUGUACCCGAGCUUAAGAAGAGUAUUCUUGAGAAAGGUCACAGAAAUGGAUUGAGUAUUCAUCAUGGUGCUACGAAGAUGUAUCAAGAUUUAAAUAGGCUAUUUUGGUGGUCAGGAAUGAAGGAAGAUGUUGCAGAGUUUGUGUAUUCGUGUUUGACUUGCCGGAAGUCGAAGGUUGAACAUUAGAAGUCGUUAGGUCUGAUGCAACCGCUGAAUAUUCUCGAGAGGAAACAGGAUAGAAUUUCUAUGGACUUUGUGAGGAUGCAUGGUAUACCUUCGAGUAUUGUGUUAGAUAGAUAUUUGAGAUUUACAUCAAGAUUCUAGGAGAGUUGCAAGAUGUGUUUGGAACUAAGCUGAAGUUGAGUUUCAUUUAUCAUCUGCAGACGGACGGUGAAACAGAAAGGACUAUCCAGUCUUUAGAGGAUUUGAUACAGGUUUGUGUGUGUAGCACCUCAAAUUUUCACCCUCCAUUCAUGCAUUCAUUUCAUUUUUUAGGUCAUUAAUAUUACAUUAACAUUGCAUAUUGCAUUGCAUCUUUUCAGUCAAGACUGGCAUCAAGAGAAUUCAUCUGUGCAAGAGACCAAGCAUUUCAUUGAGAUGAAGGCCACAUGAGUAUUCUAGAGAUCUUACAUGAAUCAAGGUUCAUUUUGAAGUAACUUGACCAAGUGUUAGAGGCUCAAAGUCCACAGUGCAUUGCCAGGUCAUCUAGGGGUCAACUGAAAGUCAACUGAAAGUCAAUUGAGGGCUAGGAGGUGGAGAAAUGGUUUGAGACACUUCACUCAUGUCCAAAAGAGGGUUAUUCAUCAUGUCAAACAUCUACAUUGAAGAUUUUGAGGCCAUAUCAAAAGUUUCCCAAAAUGGAAAGUGACCUGUAAUUUCAAGUUUCCAAAAAUGGCAAGUUUUUGGACCACUUUCAACUUGACUUUCCAACAACAAAGAAGCUUCAAAUGAAUUUUUGUACAACAUGAAAGUUGAAGAUCUUUCUCUCCCAUUUCCAAAAAGUCAGAGAUCAUGAGCAUCUGAUGAAUGGUUGAGGAGUUAUGAGCAAAUGAUCACCAAGUGUGCAUGGAACUUCCAAGAGCCAUAACUUAUGAUCUAAAACUCCAAAUUGAGUGCCUCUUUUUGCAUUAUGCUCCUCAUGACAUAUAUUUUCCAAAUCAUUCAUUACAUGGCAUGAAAUUUGUUCACAUGAUCAUUUGGCCAUGCAUGUGAUUUUUGAGGGAAAAUCAUGAUUUAAAAUUGGUGCAUCACAUGAGCUUUUUGAUCACUCCAUGGUGUUCAUAAGUGGAUUUUAAGUGUAAUUGAAUGGUAAGGUGGUACUGUUCACGUUCAUGUUGCAUGCAUGGGGUGAAUUUUCCAAAUUUGCACUACACCCAUUUUGCAUUAGAAUUUCAUUAGCCAUGCCUAAGUGUAAUUAGCAAAGUGAUUAGGGAAGCAUAUAAAAGGCUAAUCAUAACAGAAUUUCAAGGUUUCAUUCAUUCUAGAUCUAGAUCCAAGUUUUCCCUCCAAAAUUUCUCUCCAUCAUAAUUCAAAAAUUCUUCAAGUAACACAUGAUUUUUAUUGCAUAUUCUGGUUUCUUGAUCAUCAUUUGGUAGAAUUCAAGCUCUUGAUUGAAGCAUUUGGUGAAGAAUCAAGGUGUGCAAGCUCAAGAACAUGAAGAUGGAAAUGACAAAUUAAUCAAGAUCUAGUUCGUUUCAAGCUUCAAUUUCUACUUCAUGCUUCAUAUCCAGGUUGAUAGAGGAGAUUUGGACAUUGCUAAGCACCUGAAUCCACUGCUGCCAUUGAUUGAUCUUCAAGAGGUGUGAUUUUCGAACCUCUUAAUUCUUGUUUUUAUUGCCAUAGAUUUGUAGAGCCUUGAAUGCUGAUCACGCUGAUAUAAAGAUCUUGAAAAAUGGCGCAAUAUUCAUUGAGAUAUGUUGAAUUGAAAGUUUGAGUGCAUAAAUGUUUUUGCUCGAUUUUCUUGAUACAUGAUGAAUUAGAGCAAAAUAAUAGUGGAUUCGUGUUGUACAUGGCGUAAGCUUUCAAAUGAUAUGAUUUUCAUGCGUUUCUGCAAAAAAAUUCAUGUGGAGCUACUGUAGCGCCACCGUCUUCAUGAAGAAGACGGUGGUUUCCACCGUACGUGAAUAUUUCCCAGCCGCCGUCUGCAAAACCCUAGCCAUAAGCUCAAAACGACGUCGUUUUGACGUACCAGGCCCCUCCUUCGAUUCCCACCGAGCGCACUUCUGCAUUUUUUUUCAUUUUAAUUCCUUAUAGCCAAAACGGCAUCGUUUUAGACACGCUUUGAACCUCCAUUCGAUCCUCAGCCAUGGCAUUUCCAAAUUUCUCAUUUCAUUUUCACAUUAUUUUCAUGUUUUCACAUUUAAUUCCAUUUUAUUUCCUCCAACUUUGAAAAUUCAUAAAAAAUUGAAAACAAGUCCAAUUAAUUCCCAAUUUUUUUCUAUAUGUUCAUGUAAAUGUCUAGUAUUUUUGUGGUGUGAUUUCAUGAUUUUUCCACUUCUGGAUUUUUAAUUGUGUUGAUUCUUUGAACAUGUGUACAUAUGUGACAUGCUUCAUUCAAAUUAAUGUGAAAUGCUCAAUAAUUGGCCAAUUGAUUUGAAAUUUGGUGUGUUGAUUCCUAACAUCUUGCAUGAUUUUUGAGGCUUGGUUGUGCAUUUUUAGCAUUUUUCCUCUCUAUUUUGGACACAUGAUUGUAUGGUGUAACAAUGUGUGUCACACAAUUUGAUGUCAUACUUGUGCAUUUUCAUUUCUAGGUUAAUUGAUCUCUGUUGAUUCUAAUUUUUGGCAUGAUGAUUGUGUUUGACAUGUUGAUAUCACAUAAAAAUUUCCAUGAUUGUUUGAUUCAUUUCUAUUUUAAUAUGGAAUUUUCAUUCUUGAUGACCAAUUGUGUGCUUUGAAAUUGCCUUUGCCAUAUCUUGCUCCUUAGAUGACUUUGCUUAAUGAUUUUGAUUUGGUCCUUUUUAGGACAUGGUCUUACUUGUUUAAAUGUGAUUCAUGUUGAGUAUUAGCUUCUGUUUUGACUUUUUGCUUUACCUUUGACCCUAGGCUUUGCCCUAGGGGUUUGAACUCACAAUUUGAGCUUUGUAUUUCAGGAUCAAUUGUUUAAAUGUGAUUCAUGUUGAGUAUUAGCUUCUGUUUUGACUUUUUGCUUUACCUUUGACCCUAGGCUUUGCCCUAGGGGUUUGAACUCACAAUUUGAGCUUUGUAUUUCAGGAUCAAGCAUUCGUCUACAUGGUUGAUGUUGCCUCAUCAUUUGAGCUUUGCUAUUUGCCUUGUUUACUAACAUUUGGUUAUUUUGUAGGUCCUCUGGUAGUGAAUCACUUGAGUGUUUGCCUUCUAUGGCUUACUUGUUGUGCAUAUUAGGAUUGUCUGACUAUUGACUGUCUGUUUGGUUUGUCUGAAUGUGAAUAUUGACUUGUUUGAUUUUCUUACAGGUACUUUAGUCGCUCUAACUCAUUGCUUGAGUUGCUUUGCUUGUGGUUGGCAUACCACCUAGUUAACUUCUUGUACCCCAUGUAGUCUGGAAGCCCUGUCGUUUAUGUUUGGCAGGCAUUUGGCUGAAGUCCUCCUUAAGAGGCAAUGACUGUGUUUGUUUACUUUUGUGCCAUGUACUUCAAGUCCUCCUAAGUGAAGAGGUAAUUGGCAGAUAGAAGGGAUGUGCAAUCCAUCCCCUGCUAUUCAGUUGAGUCUUUCAUCUUGCUCGCACUACGUGUCGAUGCAUUUGAAUAAACACCCCAAGAUCUUGUAUAUAGAGUCAGUCAAGUGGAGUAGAGUCCCAUAUUCUGGACUCUCACGUUUUCAUUGAUUAAAGCUCACCCAAGCCCGGGUUAAGAGCUAUGAGGUCUUAUCCUCAUUACCUUUCAUCUGCUUACCCUGACGGUCAAUGUCAGUGGUUAAGAGCCCUCAGAUACCCUUCCAGUACCGGCUUGUUUGUCGAGGUUGAUAUGACCCCUUGACUAAAGCCUCUCCCCUUGAUGUUUGAGCCCCUUGUUGGUGUGUUUACUUCAUGCUGUAUGUGUUUGUGUGGUGUGAUUGUAUCCCCAUAGGAUUGCUAGACUUCGCAUAGUCUCUCGUUUGCAUAUCAAUUAAGGUAGCACGGUUCCUUCGUCUAGGACUUCCUUUCUUGCGUGAGCUUUCCUAAAACACAAACCAACUUGAUCCCCUCUUAAGAACACGUUAACUCCUUCUACUACUGGUGAGUAAGUCUCCAAAGGUCGAGCAUCCGGUAGAUUGCGUAGUAACGUCGUUCACCUAAAAAACACAAAACAAAUAGAAAUAGUUUAGUCGAACUACGGCAACUCUGAUUCUCAUGUUCAGAUGAGAUACGUAGGCACGAGAUGCGAUGUCUUGUCGAGUUUGACUAACAACUAACUUUGAUCCUUUUCUCUCGCCCUCGUUGCGAUUGAGACCUUUGAGAUACGUAGGCACGAGAUGCGAUGUCUUGUCGAGUUUGACUAACAACUAACUUUGAUCCUUUUCUCUCGCCCUCGUUGCGAUUGAGACCUUCCCUUUCUCUUGCCCUGGUUGCAAUCGAGACCCUCCCUCUUGUGUCUGUGUUUGGAGUCUAAUGUAAGUCCAACCAUUGGCAUUCAGUUUCCAGUUUGUUUGUUCUUUGCUUGGAGUCUGAUGUAAGUCCAGCGAUUGGCAUUCGGUUUCCUGUUGGUGUUUGUUUGUUCAGAGUCUGAUGUAAGUCCAGCGAUUGGCAUUCGGUUUCCCGUUUGCGUUUCUUUGUUCGGAGUCGGACGUAAGCCCAGCCAUUGGCAGUCCGUUUCCAGUUGUGUGUUUGCUUUGACGUCUCAGCGUCUCCUUUCAGCGUUUUGUUUCGGCGUGCGUUAGCCGAGCUACGAGUGUUCUGAUUCUUACUUUGGUUAGAGAAGAUAUGUCUGCAUAGGAUACGAUAUCCUAGCAAGCACGUUUCCCGUUCCCCCCGAACUACGUCGACUCUGAUGUUUGUGUCUGACAAACUACGUAGGCCCAGGAUGCGACAUCCUGCCGAGUCCCUUUCUUCCGUCUUUCAUCUGUGUUCUAGUCCAGUCUUGUGCAGUUUUGAGCAGUUAUUCAGCAACCUUAUUCUAUCCUUUUUGAGCGUGGAUCCCGUCGAGUACGACGGACGUGAGGGGGUGCUAAUACCUUCCCCUUGCGUAACCGACUCCCGAUCCUUGCAAUCUCUGGUCGUAAGACCAUUUUCUUUCCCUCCUUUGGGAUAAAUAACGCACGGUGGCGGCUCUGUGUCUUUUCCCGCCGGUUGUUUUUCGCGUAUGCGACAGUGUGCUAGAAUAAGGAGGUGCUUGGAGUAGCUACUUGUUGUUGCUUGAGUGCAUCUACAACAAUAGUUUCCAUGCUAGUAUUGGGAUAACAUUGUAUGAGGUAUUGUAUCGUAGGGGGUGUAUGACUCCUUUGUGUUGGUAUAAGUCAAGCGAGAGUGUUGUUCUCGGACCUGAGAAUAUUCAGCAAACGACUGAGAAUAUCAAGAUGAUCCAAGAGGAGGAAAACACUUGAGUUACAAGGUUAAGUUGAGGGUAGUAUAGGAAAAGUCUAUUGGGAGAAAGACAAUUACUAGAAAAAGGGGAAUUGGGAAAAAGGAACGAGACUUCCAUCGUACAUAGAAAUUUGGAGAAAAGAGAAGGAAGGUUAGGGAAAGAGGCUAAAGAUGAUCUAGUGGAAUAAACUGAAGGUUCUGAUUCAGAAUAUUUGCAAAGAAUUCAGGUAAGGUUGAGAAUUUGUUCUAAUAGUAAAUGGUAUGGUAGAAUGGUAGAAUGGAGGAACCCUUAACUUCCUUAGCGUUGGGUGUUCUAAAUCUAAAUUUUGGUUUCCAUGUUAUCAUUGUUGAUUGUAUGAUGAAUUUGGUGUGAAGUCCAUGUAUCCUAUGCAUGUAUAUAUUUGUUUAAUGUUGUUGAUGAUGUUAUGCCAUUGGUUGAUGUUUGAAGGUUUUAACCUUGAUUUAUGGUAUUUGGUGAAUUAGAGAUGAUGAGUAUGAUGAUAUGUUAUAAUAUGAUAUUGGUUCAUGAAAACUAUGGAGUAAUUGAUGAAUUAUGAAGUUAUAACCAUGCGAAUUUGGAUUUUUAUUUGAUGGACUUUUGUAGAAUUAGUUUCUGGUACAUAAGGGAGUGUUUAGAUGGUCUAAAAACUAACUUUUAGGAAAAUUUUGCAUUAUAGGUCGACCUAUGAAGGUCAUGUGCCAACCUAUAUAGGUCAUAGGUCGACACAUGCAGUCAACACAUAGGAUAAAACAUAGAGGCUUUAAAAAUGUAUUAUAUGUACUGACCUGAAAAGGUCAUGUGCCGACCUGAAAAGGUUAUGUGCCGACCUAAAAAGAUCAUAUGCCGACCUGUACGAGUCAUGCGUCGACACAUAAUUUCCAUAAUGUUGUUUUGCACUAUUCGAUGAUUUUGGCCAUAACUUUUGAUCCGUAUAUCCAAAUGACGUGCCGUUUGAAGCAUUAGAAAGAUAAUGCUCAUAUCUAUAAGGUGAUAGUGAUAGGUUAAUUGUUUGAUUAUAAUUACUAUGGAUACUUUAUUUGUAAAAAUUUUAUUCAUAUGUUCGGUUAUUGAAUUGUUGAUAUAUCCCAACGAUUUUGGUUAUAACAUUAAUUUCGUAAGUCCAAUUUUGAUGUCGUUUGAAGCGUUAGAAAACUAAUGCUUAAAAAAAUAACAUGAUAGUGAUUGUAGAGAUGUUUGAGUAUUAUUCACGUGCCUACUAUGUUGAUAAAUGUAUUGGUUUAUGUUUGGUUGAUGAAUCAUUGCAUUGUUGUGAUAUCGUGGUGUGAUAAGGAUGUUGUUAUAUAGAUGAUUUUAUGAUAAUGAUGUUAAGGUGCUUAUGAGUUGUUGCUGUUUGUUGAUAUUAUUUAUAUGGUAACUUAAUUUGACUGUUACAUGAUGAAUGAUAUGAUUCAUAAAUGAUGAGAUGUGUGUGGGGAUCCUUUGGGUGAACAUUGAUGUGUUAAUGCAUGUUAUUGGAGAGUCAUGUAUGAUGGUGUACGGGUUGCAAUCUAGUUUUAGUGAGCCUCGAUCAUAUGGUGAUGGAUCAGGUGCGAGUAGCUAAAUCCUAUUAUAGGGAAUUAGUGAAGUGUUACCUAUGGUGAUGGCAUCACCUUUGGUGUACUCCGGUUCCAAGAGGGGAUUGAUCCUAUGGUGGGGAUCAUGGAGUAAAAUGAAACUGAAUGUUCAUAUUUGGUACAACAUGCAUGUCGAGUCGGUGUUAAGUAUAUUGCGUAAGUGUUGCAUUUGUAUUAAUUGUUGUUGAUGUGUUGUUGGAUGAGAUCUUGUUGUAUAUGAUGUUAAUGAUAAUUGAGAUGUGGUUGUGUAUGAUGUUGAUGAUAAUUAUGAUGUUGUUGUGUCUGAUGUUGAUGAUGAAUUGGGUGUGAGAAUGUGAUAUAUUGUUGUGCAUGAUUGUGUAGAUGUUGUAUUAUAUUCUUCAUGUUAUACUAUUUAUUAUUGAAAUGAAUUCACACCCCUUCUGUUUGAAUGUUUCCUUUACAUGGGCAUCAUGCAGAUACUCAGGAGUAUCGGUGUUGGAGUAAGUGGAAGGUAGCUCUUGGAGAGGCUUCCCAUAGUUUUGUCGUUUUUAUUUAGUAGGGUCUUGCUCUGGUCAAUGUAACAUCGAGUUGAGUUGAAGUCGUUAUUUAUGAUUGAUGAGAUUCAAUUUUGUGAUGAGUUGAAUUUAUAACUCUUUUGUGGCAUUAUGAAAGUUGGAGUUUUGAGACUAUAUGCCUUGAGUUUCAAUUGACAUGUUUAAUUGAUUUGAUGAUUCUGCUCCGAUGAAACCCUGAGUGAAGGUGAGCAUGUGAAGACAUGUUUAUGUGAUGUUUUGUAACCCGUGUUAUGGAUCAUGAUUUAUUUAUGAUGUAUGCGACACAUUUGUCGUUGUGAUUUUAAUUGAAUUAUGCGAUAAUUGUAUGUGGGGUUUAGAAGGGUGUUACAUAAUGUCCAAUUAUAGUCCUGAAUAUUACACCCAAAUUGUAAUAGCUUGCAAGUUAUAAAUACUCUUCUUCCAACCAUAAAACAUACUCAAACAUAUCAAACAUAUUUUCUCGCCCACGUGCGAUCGAAAAUGUUUUCAACAAGAAAAUUGUUUAGUCUGUUUUAACGCGAAUACUAACAAAUGCUUUAAGCCUCCAUUUGCGAGCACAAGCAACAUUUAACUGUUGGAGCGCGAUCUAAACAGUCGUUCAAUAAAACACACCAACCAAAACAUAGUUUUUUAUGCCGAACUACGAAGCUUUGAGUUCCUCAUUGUACCUGAGGAUGCAAUGGAGCGAGACCCACAGUCUCGUCAAGCACUCUAAUAAAAACAUUUUUGCGACCCCUUUUCCUUUUUGCACUUUUAUCGCUCGAAGAAAACAAUUAACAUAACAUUCAAUCAUAAAUAUAACUAAAAGGUUCCUAUUAAGUACAACGAAUGUGAGAGGUGCUAAUAUCUUUGUUUUGUGUAAUCGACUUCCGAACCCGAGUUUGGUUGCGACACCAUCUUCUUUUUCUUUAAGGGUUUUAUCGAUAUUUUUUUCUUUUUUGGAAUAAAUAAAGUUCAGUGAUGACUCUUUUCAAUCAUUUUCUGCGAGCGCGCGGACUCCUUGCAAAUGAUCGUAUUUUUCGAAAUAUAACAUCUAUAAUGAUUCCUAUGAAGAUAAGUUCAUUAAAAAAAAAGAUAUGAUAUAAAAAAAUAUAAUGCGAGUAAGUAAAGACUAAAGAUUGUAUCAGUGUCUGUUAGUCAAAUCUAACAACAUAAUGUGAGGAAAAAUUAUAAUAGAUUAACAAAAUGAGGUUGAAUGAGUAAGGGUUGUGAUUGAAAGAAAUUGAAGUAAUGGGUGACAGUGAUUAACAAACUUGAAGAAUGUGUGACACUUCAGAGUUUGGUUUUCUUUUUUUUAAUGUUACUUGUAUAAAAGGGAAGUUGAAUUUGUGUUAUAUUUACCUACGCUCCGAAGUAACUUUCGGAUAUGAUGUGUGUGUAUGAAUGUUGUUUUCAAAUAGAUGCAUUUUCGAUUUUCAUAGAACUUUUGAGAAAUACAUAAAGUACAAUAAGAACUUAAAAUAAAAGGCAACAACUCAAUAUACACUUUUAAUAUCUUCACGGUCAAUGUGUUCAUUUCACUACAUUGGUCCUACCAAUUCAUUGUCAGCUCAAUCUAAAUAGGGAAGAAAGAAAAAAAGUGUUCACAAAAUAAAAUGAAUAUAGAAAUGUAGUAAAUUUGUCUUCAAACUUCAACGAUUAAGAUAUAAUGAAGCUUGAAGUAUCAAAUUAAAUUAAUAGUGUCAACAAAGUGUCUCAUCUCACUCAAUCAAACAUGUUUUCUAGUAGAAUAGUAUUAAUAAUAAGACCCUACAAGGCAUUCAUUAGAUGAAUCGUUGGGUGCAAGUGUUGCACUUUCCACACAAUUAGUUGUUUCAUGUUUCAGUAUCUGAAAUGUUUGAACAAAACUUCCUUAUUUUAAUUCAUGCAGAAUUGUUCUCAAGUUAUCCAUUCGAUUUCUAAAAAGUAUAAAAUUAGAUAAUCAUUCAUUUCAAUAUUUGUUAAAACAACUAUCAGAAUAAAGAAAAAUAAAAGGAAGAGAAAAUGAAUAUGGUCGAUAUUUGUUAACACAAUUCGGCUAAUAAUACAUACUUCUGCAAUUAUAUAAGUUCGGUCAAUGGUCCAUACUUCUGCGACUACGUAACAAUUAUAGUUUCUUUUUAUUUGUGUGAAUAAUUAUAGUUCCAGUGUUAGGAGCAAUAUAUAUAAUAUUACGACUCAGUUUACAAUAGUACCACCGAUCACCCACCGUGAUUACCUAAUCAUGAUCAUCUAAUCGACAACACCAUUGGUGAUAUUAGCAUAGGAGUAUCUCAUUAUCUCAAUAUUAAGUAUGUUUGCUUAAAGAUGGCGUUUGUCUAUCAAAUGAAUCCUUAGAAGAUGACCAACAUAUACUUGUCAUGCAGGAACAAUUAAACCAAUUCGAAAGAAACAAAGUGGGUGAACCUGUUCCUAGACCUAAUGAUAAAGACAUCAUUAGAAUAAAAUGGGUGUUUAAAAAUAGUUUCAUAAGAAUGGAAUAAUUGUUCGAAACAAGGCAAGAUUGGUGACUCAAGGAUAUAAUUAAGAGGAAGAAAUCAAUUUUGAAGAAACAUUUGCUUUGGCUGCAAGGUUAGAAGCUAUUUGAUUAUUACUUGCUUAUGCUUGUUCAUAAAGUUUUCGGUUAUAUCAAGUAGACAUCAAGAGUGCAUUCUUGAAUGGAAACAUCAAUAAAGAAGUCUGUGUUAAUCAACCUCUCAAUUUUGAAGACUUCAAAAAUCCUUCAUAUGUGCACAAGGGUUUGGUAUGAUAGACUUAACAAUUUUCUAUGUGAGAGAGGAUUUAACAAAAGAAAAGUUGAUAUAACUUUGUUCAUUAAGAAGAUCAAAGAUCACACUUUACUCUGUUUGAAUUUUGGGUCACAAAUUUACAUGUGUUAGGGUCAUUAUUUAAUUAGGAAAAAUUUAAGUUGUCUAGUUGAUAUUAAGUCUAUGGUUAAUGAUAUAUAUGUAAUGAAAGAUUAUUGUAUGGAUACCAUAAGUCAAUAUCCUAAUUUGAUGAGAUGAGAAAUUAGAAUAUUGAAAACUACAUAGUAACCCUAAGAGAGUUAUUUAUAUGGGUUAUGAUCCUUAUUUGUAGAAUAUGAUAAAUACGGUUUAUCAUGUUUUCUCUCUUCGUCCCCAUCAAAAGAGAAUCAAGAAAUCCUAAGAGUUGUGCUAGUUGCAUAGUCGUGGCUCUUAGAAGUUUUAUUCGUUAAUUUUGGUAUUAUUUUUUCAAUUUUUGGCUACAAUUUUUAUUCUAUACAAUAUUUUAACAUUUUAAAUGAGUUAAUUAAAAUGAAAAGUCGCUAAAGUGACCUAUUUUAUGGGAACUGCUUAUGAUUAAAUGUUAAAUAUUUUUUAUUUUAUUUUGUUUGUUUAUCCAUGCGAAUGUCAACUUACCCAAAAUACAGUUGAUGUUUGGUCAGAUUUCAUUCACACAUGUGAUGGUAAACAUGUGAUAAAUAUAAGGUUUCACAUGUGAAUAAUAAAUCAAUCCAAAGAGGGGUUUAUUAUUUGGUAUGUUUUAUUAUCAAUAUUUUACCUUUACAACAAGAGUACCACUAGCAAACAAUAUUCGUGUCUAAAGAGUUGAUAUUGAUGAUGCACUAGGUAUCUUGAGAUGAGUUAUGACAUUAUUUGAACAUAUUAAUGAUUCAGUUUAAUUUUUGUGAAUAUAUUUAUGGUACUUAUUUUGUUAUACCUUUCAGACAAAAUUUAUUCGAUAUCUGCUAAUCUGAAUAGCGUUACCGUCUUUAAUGCGACAAAUUUUAAGGACUAGAAAGAGAAGACGAAAUUUUUUCUUUCCUGCAUGGAUAUUGACCUUGAACUGAGGAAUGAGCAACCACCUCAUAAGGAAUCUAGUACCUUUGGGCAAAUGAAAUAUUAUGAGAAGUGUGAUCACUCCAACUGAAUGAGUCUCAUGACCAUUAAGCACGACAUUCCUGAGGAAUGGUAUUUGGACUCAGGUUGUUCAACUCAUAUGACAGGGAAGAAGGAUUUGAUUGUUAAAAUUAAUCAUGCCAUAAAGUACAAAGUAAAGAUCGCAAAUGACACCACUCUAGUAGCCGAUGGGAUCAGUGAUAUUUUGAUCAUAAGAAUAAAUGGUGGAAGUUACUUGAUCAAAGAUGUCUAGUACAUUCUAGGAAUCAAAUGUAACCUUCUAAAUAUUAGCUAAUUUCUUGAGAAGGGUUACAAGAUUCACAUGGAAAACAAGGGGAUGCAUGUUAUGGAUACAAAAUGGGCUUUGGUCCUUAAAGCACAUAUGGCUGCAAAGAGAACCUUUAAGGUUGAGCUAAAGGUUAUGGAGCAUAGAUGUCUUGCUACUAUAACAAGUAGAGAAAAGUGGAUAUGGCAUUAUCUUCUUGGGCAUCUCAACUUUAGAGAUCUCAAAGACUUGCAAAAGAACAUAAUGGUAAUAGGGCUUCCAUCAAUAAAUACACCAGCUAAAAUUUGUGAAGAAUACGUGCAAGAAAAACAACAUAAGGGUAAAUUUAGAAAGACUGCAGACUAUAAGACCAAGAAUCACCCUGAGGUGGUGUAUUCGGAUGUGUGUGAACUGGUACAAGUAGAUUCAAUUGGUGGCAAUAGGUACUUUGUUACAUUUAUCGAUGAUCAUAGUAGAAAGCUAUGGAAAUACCUAAGAAGGAGAAAGGAUGAGGUAUUUGAAGUGUUCAAGAGGUUCGAGUCCAUGGUUGAGAGGCAACAUGGUCAAAAACUCAAAGUACUCAAAACAAAUGGUGAAGGCGGAUAUGUCUCAAAUGACUUUGGGAGGUUUUAUGAUCAAGAAGGGAUUGUGCAUGAGGUCGUACCACCCUACACACCUAAACAAAAUUAUGUAUCCGAAAGAAAGAAUUGAUCGAUCAUGAACAUGGUGAGAAGCAUGUUAAAGGGGAAGAACUUUCCGAAAGAGCUAUGGGGAGAAGUGGUAUCUACAACUUCCUAUCUGUUGAAUAUAUGCCUUGCAAAGAAGCUUGAGAAAGUAAUACUGGAGGAAGCAUGAUCGGGAUUCAAACUGAAUCUGAACCAUUUGAGAAUCUUUGUUUAUGUUGCAUACCGACAUGUUCCGGGAUAACUUAGAAAGAAGUUGGAUGAUAAGGGAGAAGUUAUGAUACUUGUAGGAUAUCACUCGACUAGUGAUUACAAACUGUUUGAUGUUGUAAAUAGAAGGAUCAUGAUCAGUAUGGAUGUCAUAGUCGAUGAAUUGAAGAAAGUAUAGUAGGGUGUAACCGGUUACCAUCAGACAUUAACUGGCUACAUGCAGGCGUAACCGGUUACUAGAAAGUUCAAUUACAACUUCUAAAUUUCCAGUUCUUAAGAAAAGGGAAGUGCAUAACAGCUCGUCGUCGAAGCCCGAAAUGAGGAAAAUGUUAGAAGGUUAACAAGGAAAAAUGAUUUGCCUCAAAGACUCCAAGAUUGUGAGUUGUUCCGAGACAACAAAGUCAAUGAUGAUGAUGAUUUCGUACAUUUUGCACUUAUGGUUGAAUCUGAACUUGUUAAUACGGAAGAGGCUUUAAGUUAUCCAUAGUGGAUUUGUGCUAUGAAGGAGGAGUUCAAAUAUAUUAAGAAGAAUAAUACUUGAGAGUUGGUUGAUCUACCGAAUGGGAAGAAGCCAAUAGGUGUGAAGUGGAUGUUCAAAGUGAAAGCAAAUCCCAAGGGUGAGAUAAUCAAGCAUAUGGCUCGAUUGGUGGCUAAGGGAUUUUUGCAAAGAGAAAUGCAUAGACUUUGAAGAGGUAUUUGCACUGGUUGCUAGGAUUCCAUUAGGCUUGAAGAGGAGGUAUAUGUAGGACAACCUUAUGGUUUUGCUGUGAGAAACCAAGAGCUGAAGGUCUACAAGUUAAAGAAGGCAUUAUAUGGUUUAAAGCAAGCUCCAAGAGCUUGGAAUAAAAUAAUAGAUGAUUUCCUAAAGAAUGUUGGCUUUAAGAAAUGUGUAUCCGAGCAUGGAGUGUAUAUGAAGACGAAUACAAGUGACGGAGUAAUUAUCCUUUGUCUAUAGCUAUCAUUUCUCCAGCUGAAUCAAAGUUGCAGUUGUCUAAGACUGAGGAUGAGCAAGAUGUUGAUCCAACUCAAUAUAGGAGGUUGAUUGGAUCCUUGCGUUAUUUCUGUAAUACGCGACCAAACUUGGUGUUUAGUAUCGGUAUUGUGAGUAGAUUUAUGGGUAGACCAAAGGUUUCACACUUGGCAGCAAUCAAGAGGAUCCUAUGACACGUCAAAGGUUCUGUUGGCUGCGGAAUUCUCUUUCCCGCAAUGGAUACGGGCAUAAAAUGUAAUUUGCUCGGUUUUAUAGAUUCCAAUUGGUGUUGAGAUAAAUAUGAUUGAAAGUCUACAGCUGGAUACAUCAUUGUGUUCGAUGCGACACCAAUCUCAUGGUGUUCGAAGAAGGAAUCAGUAGUUACACUCCCAUCUUGUGAGGCUGAGUACAUUGAGACUUUGUUAUGUGUGUGCCAAGUCGUAUGACUUAUGAAUCUAUUGGAGGAGUUAGGCAGUAGUGAGGGUGAGACCGUCACACUUCUAAUUGACAACGUUUCCGCGAUUAAUCUUGCUAAGAACCCAAUUGUACAUGGGAGGAGCAAACAUACUGAGAUGAUGUUUCACUACUUCAGAAAACUUGUUAGUGAAGAAAGGUUACGAUUGGUAUAUUGUAGAAGUGAGCACCAAUUUACUGAUUUGUUGACUAAUGGAGUCACAAAUGAUGUAUUCAAUAGGUUGAAGAUGAAUAUGAGCAUGAAAGAUUUGGAGCACUUGAGUUAAAGUGGUGUGUUGAAAGUUUUCCAAGUAAUCCAAGUGUUUUAACCGGUUAACACGAGGUGAUAGCCGGUUACAGCAAGGCAAUCAACACUUUGAAGUAGUUGAAAAUAAUAGUUUUCGUUGCUGUAACUGACUAACUUGUGGCGUUAAUCGGUUACCACUAAAAGAAUUUAGUUUUUCCAUGUCAGGUGUGACCGGUUAACUAAAUGGUGAAAUUGGUUACGAGCCCGAAUAAUAUAAUUUUUUGUUAUGUUAGUUGGUUGGUUUUGAUUCUCAAUAACUAUCUAACCUUAUAUAAAUAUGUAGGAUGCAUUCUCAUCCUAAGCUAAUGAAAGUAACAUUUCUCACCCUCAAUUAUCUCUAUCUCUCAAUUUUUCUCUUUCAAUCUCCACAUUUCAAUUCUCUCCAUUAUUAUUCACCAAUCUUAUGGAUCAAAGUUCCGACAUCCAAAUGGAACAACAAACAGGUAAUAGCGGUAAUAGCACUAGGUGGGUAUGUGAUAUCAAAACAAUCCAUUGAAAUAUUUUUGGUUAUUUUACACAAUCCAUUGAAAUAUAUGGCUAAUAGCAGUAGGUGGGUAUGUGAUAUCAAAACAAUCCACGUUAGAAUAGUAUGUCAAACUUUAUGACACAUGGUGAAAAGUUCAAUAUACUCACUCUUUUAAUAUCUUCACUGUCAGGUCCCUAGUCCCCACUAUAUACGUCCACUUCACUACAACUCAUUGCCUAAUCCAAACCGGCAAGAAAGAAAAAAGUGCUCACAAAAUAUAAUGAACAUAGAAAUGUUGUAGUAAAUUUGUUUACAAAUUUCAAUGAUUAAGAUAUAAUGAAGCAUAUAGUACAGUAUCAAAUUAAUUUAAUAGUGUCAACAUCUUCAUUUAACUCAGAGACAUGUUGGCUGAAAAAGUGUCUCAUCUCAUGCAAUCAAGCUCGUUUUAAAAAAGUCUUACAAAAAUAUGCAUUAAAUAUACAGUUACCACUUAUUUCAAAAAACACAAGUGGAGAGAGCCUCAUUAUUUUUAUUUUGGUUGUUACUUCUUAUUGACUUUGAUUAGUAUUUGAAAUAUAAAGUCUGAAACAAGUUUUCUGAUUUUAAUUGAAUCUCAUUAUUACAAAAAAAAAACACUUUUAAAAGCCACAUGUCAACUUGACUAUAAAAUUAUGAUAUGUCAAACCCCACUUGCCACACAAACUCACAUGCAUCAUGAAUAUAAGACCUAGAUCUGAUUCAUAUAGAAUCUACUUCACACACAAAUUGAGAGAACAAUGGGUGUUUGUUAUUCUUGCAAUACAUCCUCAAUAUUUAAAAACAUUAUAAGAGUUGUUCAUCUUGAUGGUUUUGUGGAAGAUUUUCAUCAACCAAUUUCAGCAAGCCAAGUUAUUGGAAAUCUACCAAAACACUUUGUUUGUACUUCAAUUCAGCUUCUUUCAUCAUCCUACAAACCAUUGAAACGAGAUAACUUCAACCUGUGCAACUCUUUUAUGCUACAUACUCAGUACUCCAACUGAGUUCUCCGGUGGUGAUAUCGCUGUAGCAAAGAGCUCACACAAAAGGCGAAAACAACCAAAUGAUUACAGUAGUCUCACAAGUUAUCUUUACUUUUUCAAGGAGUCAGUUAUGAUGAAUGGAGGAAGAAGCCCUUGUAGAAUGCAGUCAUGGAAACCUAUCUUGGAAACUAUUGCAGAGAAAUCACUCAACAGGAGAACUGAAUCAGAUUUGCAAGACAUUGUUAUCAAUGUUAUCUCAUCCAAUAAAACUUGUUUUCUAGUAGAAUAGUAUUAAUAAUAAGACCCUACAAGGGAUUGAUUAGAUGAACUGUUGGAUGCAAGUGCUGCACUUUCCACACAGUUAGGUGUUUCAUGUUUCAGUAUCAACAAAACCUCCUGAUUUUAAUUCAAGCAUAAUUGUUCGCAAGUUAUCCAUUCAAUUACUAAAGCGUAUAAAACUAGAUAAUCAUUCAUUUCAAUAUUUGUUAAAAUAACUAUCAGAAUAAAGAAAAAUGAAAUGAAAAGAAAAUGAAUACGAUCGAUCGAUAUUUAUUAACGUAGUUCGGUCAAUAAUACAUAUUUUUGCGACUAAAUAAGUUUGGUCAAUAGUGUAUACUUCUGCAACUAUAUAGUAAUUAUAAUUUUUUUCCAUGUGAAUAAACUAUAUAUAUAUAUAUAUUAAGAGUCUCAGACAAUCUAUGACUUGAAUAUGUGUUUAAAAAUGGGGACAAUCCUCACCUUACAAGUCGGUUUUGUAUGGUUGAGUUUGACCCAAUCACAUAUUCUUAAGAUGGUAUCUAGAGUUUUUUGAGAUUCAUUUGUUCGUCGUGUUUUACUCGGUUGACCCACUGUCUUCUGAUGAGAAAUUUUUUUAAAUGACUCAUUCCGGUCACCACCAUACCGACGCUGCCACACUUAUUCUGAUGACUUUCCGACACACCAACCCCGCAGACAAAAGUGUUUGCUUCAGUUUGGCCCACCCCUAGAAAAUCGUCGUCAACCAUCGUCACAUGCGCUCACACGCGCCGACAACAUCCCUGCGCGUGGGCCUCAUGCACCUCCGUCAAUACCGCUCGUGAUAGCGCGUCUGACCAUCGUCCCUACCGCUAUUUUUCAUCGUUUGGCUAGGUUCUCCGUCCUGAUUCCAGAUAUGCAUUCAAUUUUUAUUUAUGAUCUACGGAAAUACAAUUUAUUGUUCAAACAACCCUUGUUUUGUCGUUCGUUGUGACUGUCACUAUUCUCAUGAAAAAUUACUACCCCACCAAUUCCUUCGCUUUUACCAAAGUCCCGCUCAUACGUACAAGAAACUAACUGGGACAGUUAAAUACAAAGGCAAGAGAACAACAAACUAGAGUUGAUGAUGUUACUUAACCAACUAUCACCAAAGAAGUUAAUAUAUCGGUUGCUGAUUAUAAUGCGUUCCUUUAGUUCAAAGAAAUCAUCAACCAUCAUCUUCUGCCAUUGUUGCUCAAUCUGGUAAUCAUAUAGACUUUGUCUCUACAUUCACCUCCCUUGUUCCCAGAGUCCUUGACUUUGGUGCCUCAGAUCAUAUGACUGGUAAUGAAUUUCUUUUAUAUAACUUGUCUUAUUUUGAUUCCUUGCCUUCUAUCACUGUAGAGGAUGACUAUAAAAUCAAAGUUCAAUGUCUUGGUCAGGCACACCCACUUUCAAACGUGUCUUUAGAUUAUAUGUUAUAUAUUCCCGAUUUCCCUUUCAAUCUAAUAUCUAUUAAAAAGCUCACUCGCGUUCUUGAUUGUUCAAUUCUGUUUAUUGAUAAUUUUGUUUAUGUCCAGGAUCGACGUACAUGACGGAAGAUUGGAACAGGGAGUGAGUCUGAGGAUUAUAUCAUUUAUCACCAUCGAUGGCAUGUGCUUCUAUUGCUUUUCAAAACCUUACACAUCAAAGUUUGGGUCACCCUAGCCUUAAUAAAAUAUGUCUUUUAGUUCCUAGUUUUUCUAAGCUUUCAUCAUUCGAGUGUCUGUCAUAUCAAUUGGGAAAACAUACUCGUCAUAUCUAUUGUCGACGAGUAAAUAAAAAAUUUAUGUCACCUUUUGCUUUAGUUCAUUAUGAUAUUUGGGGUCCUAGUCGUGUCAAGUCAACUUUAAGAUACUCUUACUUUGUAACCUUCAUCGACAAUUUUUCACGAUGUACUUGGUUAUUUUUAUAUGAAAAACCGUUCAGAUGUCUUCCAUAUAUUCCACGAAUUUUAUCCCAAAAUUAAAAAUCAGUUUGAAACUUCCAUUAAAAAAAUUUAUAAUGCUCGUGAAUAUAUGUCAUCCCAGUUUCAAUCUUUUAACAUCAUAGGAAAUUAUUCACCAAUCAUGAUGUGCUCAGACACCACAACAAAAUGGUGUCGCUUAAUGGAAAAAUCGUCAUUUGGUUGAAACCACACGAACUAUUUUACUUAACCACAAUGUACCUUCUCGUUUUUUGGGUGAUGCUCUCUUCAAAUCCUGUCACCUUAUUAACCAAAUUCAUUCACCGGUCCUUCAAGAUCAGAUUCUAUACUCUAUCUUGAAUCUGUAAUAUGAUCUCUACACCACUCCUCUUUGCAUCUUUUGUUGCACAUGCUUUGUUCAUGACCUCAGUCCAGGUAAAGACAAACUUUCUUCAAAAUCUCUCAAAUGUAUACAAAAAGGAUAUGAUUGUUUUUCCUAACUUCAACGAUACAUUGUUUCCUCUGAUGUUACCUUAUUUGAAAGUUCCCCAUUCUUUUCUGCCUCUGUGUCACCUUGUGAGAAUUAUACUUUAGAUGUUUGAGACAUCCCUUACAUCAUCCCCACACAUAUUACACAUCUAUUGCAGGUCUACCAGCAAUGGCCACCGCGUGCAUCAGAGGUUAGAGAUGAUAUUGAUCCAUCAACAUCAUCUUCUGCUCCAACUUCUCCUCCAGUUACAUCCCCUGAACUUGACCUUCCAAUAGUAUUACAAAAAAAUAUUUGAUAUCAUCAUCCUAAUCCAAAAUAUGCUUCUGUUUUAAAUUAUGAUUGUCUCUCUAAUUCUUAUAUCUCAUGUGUGUCUGCUUUAGAUUAUGUGUCUAUUCCUACUAAGUCUACAUGUAAAGCUAUGACUGAUCUCAAUUAGCGUCAGACGAUGUGUCACAAAUUUACAUGUGUUAGGGAUAUUAUUUAUUUAGUCAAAUCUAAAAAGGUCUCAUUGAUAUUAAUCAUAUGGCUAAGGGAAUAUAUGUCAUUAAAGGUUAGUGUAUGGAUACCAUAAGUCAAUAUUCUAAUUUGAUGAGAGAUCGGAUUAGAAUAUUGAAAAAUACAUAGUAAACCUACGGGAGUUAUUUAUAUGGGUUAUAAUCCACAUUUGUAGAGUAUCAUGAAUACGGUUUAUCAGGUUUUCUCUUUUCAUCCCCAUCAGAAGAGAAUCAAGAAACCCUAGGGCACUUUACAAAUCAGAAGAUCACAUACCUGCAAACCUUCAACGAUUCCAAUGACAAAUUUGGUAUGCUCCCGCUUUCAUUCUUAUCUUGUAUUCAGGUAUGGGAUCAUAAGAUAUGAGUUCAUAGGAUAUAGACUCGUAGGGAUUUCUGUUAUUAAUUUCUAUAUGGGUAGAGAUACAUAAUGUAAAGAACGAAUCCAAUGAGUGGUAUCAGAGUCACCUAUACCUAAUUAAAUUUGAAUUUUGGGAAUUUUGAAAUUAGGAUUCCAAAAUUGGGAUCUCUUUUAUUCUUUGUAUUUGUAUAAGUAUUAUUAUUUUAUGAUGUAAAUAAUAUUAGAUAGCUUUUCCAAUCCAUCAUUCUCUUUUCUCUUUUGCGAUUAGUUUUUCUAAUCUAUCAAUCUAUUUUCUUUUUAUGAAAUUAUGAAUUAUAACAUUUAGUUAUCUUGUGACUACACACAUGAGGAGGUUAGUUCCUUUCAUGCGAUGACACAUCAUAUGCACUUUUAUUUUAACUAGGGAGACGUGUUCUAACUUUCAUAUGUAAUAAUAGCAAUGAUGUUUCUCAUUUUUCUUAGUUAAAUUUAUCAUAGGAUAAAGUUGGAUUACUAUCUCCACAAUCUACAUUUUGUUUGUUUAAUUUUCUUUCAAAGCUAAACUCAGAGGUAAUAUAAUGAGUGUUUUAGAUUCAUAUAUGUAAUUAUAAGGAAGUCUCAAGAGAUAUACUUCAGAAGAAACGUUCUUUGGUAAAUAUAACUUAUUCUUUAAUCUUUACUCUAUUAUAGUUGAUGAACGUCAUUGUUGGAUGACUGACGGUCUGUGCUGGUCAUUAUCGGGUGACGAGCGUCAUGGCAUGUGAUGUUCAGGUUGUCACCCUGGCUGAUUCAAUGUCGUUUUUUUUACAUUUGUGAAAUUCAGAAUUGUAGUGUUUUAUUGUUCUUUACACAACAAAAUAGGCACAAAUUAGAACAUGGAUUAGUCGUGUUGGUUUGCAUAGUUAUGCCCCUUAGAAAUUUUAUCAGUUAAUUUUGGCAUUUUUUAUUCAAAUUUUGGCUAUAGUUUUAUUUUAUUCAAUAUUUUAACAUUUUAAAUUAGUUAAUUAAAAUGAAAAUUCUCUAAAGUGAUCUCUUUUAUGGAAAUUACUUAUGAAAAAUGAAAAAUGUUUAUUUUAUUUUAUUUUGUAUGUGUGCGUUUAUCCAUGCGAGUGUCAACGGACAAUUGAUGUUUAGCCGAAUUUCAUACACACCUGUGAUGGUAAACAUGUGAUAAAUAUAAGGUUUCACAUGUGAAUAAGAAAUAAAUCCAAAGAGGGGUUUAUUAUUUGACAUGUUUUAUUAUGAAUGUUUGAUCAUUACAACAAGAGUACCACUAGCAGUCAAUAUUAGUGUCCAAAGACUUGAUAUUAAUGGUGCACUAGGUAUCUUGAGAUGUGUUAUGCCAUUAUUUAAACAUAUUAAUGAUUCAAUUUAAUUUUUGUGAGUAUAUUUAUAGUAUUUAUUUUGUUCUAUCUUUUAAACAAAAUUACUUCGAUAUCUUCUAAUCUAGAUACGAUUUUGAUUCUUAAUGGGAUAAAUUUUAAGGAUUGGAAAGAGAACAUCAAAAUUGUUCUUGGCUGCAUGAAUCUCGACCUUGAACUCAAGAAGGAGCAACCACUUUCUCCUAAGAAAUCUAGCACCUCUAGACAGAGAAAAUAUUAUGAGAAGUAGGAUCACUCCAAUUGCAUGAGUCUCAUGAUCAUUAAGCGCAACAUUCCAUAGGUCUUUAGGGGUACAAUCUCAGAAGAGAUAACAAGUUCUAAAGAUUUCCUUCCUGGGAUUGAAAAGCUCUUUGCAAAAAGCGAUAAGGCAGAAACAAUUACUCUUCUUCAGAGCUUGAUUUCCAUGAUGUAUAAAAGCAAAGGAAAUAUAAGGGAAUACAUUAUAGGCUUGUCAAAAAUUGUUUCAAAACUUAAAGCACUAGAGCUUGAAUUAUCAUAAGACUUACUCAUUCAUUUAGUAUUACUUUCUCUUCCUUCAGAUUUCAGUCAUUUUAAGAUAUCUUAUAAUCGUCAAAAGGAUAAAUGGACUCUUAAUGAACUCAUUUCAUUUUGUGUGCAAAAAUAGGAAAGGUUGAAAGAAGAUAAGACAAAAAGUGCUCAUUUUGUUGGUACCUCUAAAGACAAGGGAAAAAUAAGGAAAACUAAUGGGCCCAAGAAUGAAGUUGUAAAAGGUCCAGCACAAAAGAAAUAGAAACAAAACGAUAAUUAUUUCUUUGCAAAAUGUUUGGACAUGUAAGGAAGAAAUCUCCUAAGUAUCACGCUUGCCGUGCAAGGAAAGGUACAUUUCUUGCUUUGGUCUAUUUUGAGGUCAAUUUAGGUUCAGUGCCUAGAAACACUUGGUGAUUAGACUCUAGUGCAACUACUAACAUCAUUGUUUCAAUUCAGGGUUGGCUGAACUACCAGAAGCCUAAUGAUAUUGAAAUAUACAUCUAUGUUGGAGAUGAGAAGUCGGUGGAGGUGGAAGCUCUAGGUAAUUUUAGAUUAUUAUUGUGCACUGAAUUUUAUUUGGAUUUGAAAGAAGCUUUUGUGGUACCUUCAUUUAGACGGGAUUUAAUUUCAGUUUAUUAUUUGAACAAAUUAGGUUAUUUAUGGUCAUUUAGAAACAAUAUGUUUAAGGUGUCUCUUAAUUCAAAUAUUGUGGGAACUGGUUCACUUAUUGGUCAUAAUAAUUUAUAUUUGCUUUACACAAUAACUACCUAUAUAAUAUUUAUUCUUCAUGAAUUACCAAAUCAUCUUGAAUGUGACAUCACGUGGUACUAAGCGUAAAAUUGAUAAUAAUAACUCAAGAGCAUUAUAGCACAAACGCAUAGGUCACAUCUCUAAAUAUAGAGUUUUGUGACUAGUGUCAGAUGGAAUUUUGGAUUCCAUUUACUUCAAAAACUUUGAUGUUUGUGUUGAAUGCGUUAAAGGUAAACAUACCAAAAAAAUUGGUGCAUAUAGACAUAUGGAUGUCUCAGAAUUGAUACAUACAGACAUUUAUGGACGAUUUACCAAAACUUCUUAGAAUGGUCGACAACACUUUAUAUCAUUCCUAAACGAUUAUUCAAUAUAUGCAUACGUAUUUCUUAUACAUGAAAAAUCUCAAUCAUUGGAUGUGUUCAACUCAUUUAAGGCUGAAUUUUGUAAUCAACUCAACAAAAGAAUUAAGAGUGUCAAAUCUGACUGUAGCGGUGAAUAUUACGACAGAUAUGUCGGUUCAGGUGAACAACAUCUGGGGCCUUUUUCCAAAUACCUAGAGAAAUAUGGAAUCGUCCCAUGGUACAUCAUGCCAGGGUCAUCUAGAAUGAAUGUUGCGACUAAAUGACAAAACCAAACUCUUAAGAAUAUGGUAAGGAGUAUGAUUUGUCAUUCUAUAUUACCAGAUUCACUUUAGCAAGAGACACAAAAAAAUGCAACUUACAUUAUAAAUAGACUACACACCAAGACAUCUUCCAGAAAACCUUAUGAGCAUUGGACUAAGUGAAAUCCUAAUUUGAAACAUUUUCAGGUAUGGGGAUGUCCAGCUGAGACAAGGCCUUAUAGGUCAAAUGAAAAUAAAUUGGACUCCCUAACAAUGAGUAGCUACUUUAUCAAUAAUUCUGAAAGAUCUAGGGGCUACAAAUUUUAUGAUCCGAAAUUAAACUCAGUUUUUGAGACGGGAACAACCAUAUUCUUUGAGUAUAUUGAGUUUAGGGGAAAGAAUAAGGUUACAGACUUUGUUUUAGAGGAAGAAUCAGUAACAAUUCCAGAAUUGGUUCAUACAAUUUCUUUUUAUGAAGCAAGUAUGGAACCUCCCCAAAAUAUUGUUGAAUUUUAUCCUACUUAAGAUGAUUUGAUAAUUCAUGAAGAACAAUAUCAAGAUCCUUAAGUAUAAGUGUUACAAGAACCAAUACCUUUGUGAAGAUCCAUUAGAGAAAGGAUAAAUACUAUUCCAGAUGAUUACAUAGUCUUUAUCCAAUAACAUGAGGAAAAUAAUAGUAUGAUGGAUGAUGACCCAAUCAACUUUCGCCAAGCCAUGAAGGAUUCCAACUCAGAAAAAUGGAUUGAAGCAAUGAAGGAGGAGCAUAAGUCCCAUGUCAGACAAUAAGGUUUGGGAACUUGUCUCGUUACCAAAAGGUGUGAAACCCAUUGGUUGCAAAUGAAUUUUUAAGACCAAGAUGGAUUCUAACACUAAUGUGGAGAGGUACAAGGCUUGUUUUGUGGCUAAAGGUUAUACCCAAAAGGAAGGGAUGACUUUAAACCGACUUUCUCUCAAGUUUCAUCAAAAGACUCUUUUAGGACAAUCAUGGCUCUUUUUGCACAUUAUAAUUUGAAACUCCGUCAAAUGGAUGUCAAUAUGACAUUUCUAAAUGGCAAUGUUGAUGAAACAAUAUACAUGGUGCAACUGGAAAACUUUGUGUUAGGAAACUCAAAGAAUAUGGUAUUCAAAUUUACAAAAUCCAUUUAUGGACUAAAGAAGACAUUUCAUCAAUGGUACCGUAAGUUUCAUGAAGUAAUUCUCUCAUUUUGUUUUGAGGUGAAUGAUGUUGAGGAUUGGGUGUAUCACAAAUUCAGUGGGAACAAGUAUAUAUUCUUGAUCAUGUAUGUUGAUGACAUACAACUUGCCACUAAUGAUAUAUGCAUGAUGCACGAAACCAAGAAAUUUCUAUCAAGAAAAUUGAAAGUGAAAGAUCUCGGUGACGCCUCAUUUGUAUUAGGAAUUCAGAUACACCGAGACCGAUCUCUAUGUAUUCUAGGAUUGUCACAAAUGAGCUAUAUCGAAAAGGUACUUGAAAGGUUUGACAUGCAAGAAUGUAAACCAUGGGAUACUCCAGUUACUAAGGGAGACAAAUUUAGUCCCAAUCAAUGCCUAAAAGGAAACUUAGAAAUUCAAGAAAUGCAAAAGAUUCAUUUUGCCUCAACUAUAGAGAGUCUGAUGUAUGCUCAAGUCUGUACGUGUUCGGAUGUUGCGUUCAUAGUAGGGAUGUUAGUCGGAUAUUUGAGCAAUCCAGGAAUGGAUCAUUGGAAAGAAGCCAACAGGGUUAUAAGGUAUAUAAAGAGAACAAAAGAUUAUAUGUUCUCAUAUAGGAGGUCAGACCAGUUGGAGAUCACUAGAUAUUCUGACUCUAAAUUUGUUGGAUGCCAAGAUAGUAAAAGAUUCACUUCAUGAUAUAUCUACAUGUUGGAUGGUGGUGCAGUUUAUUGGUGCAGUGCCAAGCAAACUCCCAUUGCUUCAUUCACCAUGGACAUGGAAUUUAUAUCAUGUUUUGAGGCAUCAAACCAUGGGAUUUGGUUGAGGAACCUAGUCACUAGGCUGCGAACUGCGGAAGGAUUUGAAAGACCAUUUAAGUUAUAAUGUGAUAAUAAAGCAACCGUCCUAUAUUCCAAUAAUAAUAGGAGCUCGACCAAGUCAAUACAUAUUGACAUCAAGUUCCUAGUUUUUAAGCAAAUGAUACAAAGUGGAUAGAUUUCCAUAGAACACUUAUGGACAAACUCCAUGAUAAUAGAUCAUCUUACAAAAGGUCUUCCAUACAAGGUCUUUCAUGAGGUCACUUCUCACAUGAGUGUUCUACGGUUUGAGGAUUCUAGUUUAAUGGGAGUUAGUCAUUUGUGAAUUUUAUGUUCUAUGUUUUGUAUUAUGUAUGCAUACUAUGGUUUUGAGUAUUUUUUUAUUUGGUUUAUAAAUGUUGAUAUUCAGCUAUUUAUACUUUGUACAAUAAGGUUAUUGAAUGAUCUCACUAAAGUAAAGUAUGACCAAUUGAAAAUCAACAUGUACAGACCACAUUCUUGUGAUUUUUAUGCUACACAUUUAAUGAUGAAUAUAUGUAAUUUAGUUAUGUCAUUAAUAGUAAUCAUUCAUGGGUUAAGUUAUGAUGAUAUAACGAAAAUCACUUUGAUUCUACGUUCUGCCAUGACUAAUGGACGAGAUUAUUUUCAUAUGUCUGAAAAAUAUAUAAUAACAAAUUUUGAGUUCAUAAAGUCUAACACGUGUGUAAAGUUACAUAUGUGACCAGUGGAAGAUUGUUAGGUUCAUUAUUUAAUUAAUCAAAAUUAAAAUUGUCUAAUUGAUAUAAAGUCUAUCGCUAAUGGCAUGUAUGUCAUGAAAGGUUAUUAAGUGGAUACCAUAAGUCAAUAUCCUAAUUUGAUGAGGGACAAAAUUAGAAUAUUGAGAACUAAGUAGUAAUCCUAAGAGAGUUAUUUGUAUGGGUUAUGAUUCUCAUUGUAGAAUAUUAUGAAUACGAUUUAUCAGAUUUUCUCUCUUCAUCCCCAUUAGAAGAUAAUCAAGAAACCAUAAACCACUCUACAAAUCGGAAUAUCACAUAUCUGCAAAACUUCAACGAUUCUAAUGACAAAAUCAGAUAUGCUUCUACUUUUAUUUUCAUCUUAUAUUCGGUAUGAGUUUAUAGAAUAUUGACACAUAAGAAUGAAGAUGUAUAAUAUAAAGAACAAAUACAACAUACUCAUUCAAGUCAAUGUUAAUGACAUCAUAUUCGAUUUAAUUGAGGACGGAUAUUAUUACCCGAUCCUUUGAAAAAUUGACGGAAAAUAGCACAAGGGGGCUAUGUGAUACCAAAACAAUCCACAUUAGGACAAUAUGUCAAACUUUAUGACACAUGGAGAGGACUGAGGUGAAUAAAAUAAAGGGGCUCAAAUUCAAUAUGCACUUUUAACGUCUUCACAGUUAGGUGUCAUUAUUUCUAUUUUGUUUGUUAUUUCCUAUUGACAUUCUCACAGUUAGGUGUCAUACUGUAUUUUCCAAGCAGAACCAUUUGCAAAAUAAAGCCUUAAAAGCCUCAUGUCAACUUGACUAUAAAGUUAUGAAAUGUCAAACCCUACUUACCACACACACUUCACAUGCAUCAUGCAUAUAAUAAUAUACUUCACAGACCAGUGCGGGGUGUAAUUUAAAACCAGGAUUAAAAGAAUAAUCAUAAUUUAUUAUAUUAGGAUUCUGAUUUUUAUUAAAUUUUCCAUUAUUAAUAUCUCUUUGCAUUUACUUAUUUACUUUUUCUUAUUAUUUUCAAAAAAAUGAUGGGUUACUGUUACAACAAUAACUUAUUCCUACCAUUAUUUCUAUACCCCUAAGUUUUAUAAAAAAUAUCAAUUUUAAUUUUAUAUAUUUUUUACUAAUUUAUUAUUUUAUUUUUUAACUUUUAUACUGUAUUUUGAAAGAAUUUGUUAAAAAAAAUCGAUAAUUACAUUUUUAAUAUUUUUAACUUUUAUUUUAUAUAUCAGAAUACUUUUCAAAAGAGUUUCAAUAGUCAAUUUUUAACAUUAACUUUUAUUUUAUGUACUGAAAGACUUUGAAAAAAAAAUCGGUAGUCAAUUUUUUAAUAUUUUUUAACUUUUAUUAUGUAUAACGGAAGACUUAACAAAAGAGUUUCGGUAGUCCGUUUUUAACAUUAAGUUUUAUUUUGUGUACCGGAAGAAUUUGAAAAAGAGUCGAUAAUCAAUUUUUAAAUAUUUUUUAAAAUUUAUUUUAUGUACCGGAAGACUUUGCAAAAGAGUUCCGGUAAUCACUUUUUUAAAUAUUUUUAAACUUUUAUUUCGCAUAUCGGAAGACUUUAUAAAAGAGUUUCGAUAGUUAUUUUUUAAUAUUAAUUUUUAUUUUGUAUAUCAAAAGAUUUUGCAAAAGAGUUCUAAUAGUUAAUUUUUUAAAUAUUUUUUAACCUUUAAUAAAUUAUUUAUAUGAGGAUAUUUUGAUCCAAAAAAAUAUAAUAUAGCGGUAGGAAAAUAAAUGAUGGAGUAUGAGAUAAAAUUUUCCUUGAUUAAUUCGGCUACAUGCACUGUUUUUUUUUCCACUAAAACAUAAAGCAUAAAACUUGAAAGUGUCAUUAUGCUUUAUGUUUUUAAGAAUAUGAAGGUAGUUAAUGAACCUGACCAUCAUGAAAGAUCUACAAUGACACUGUUGGUAAGAAACAAUCCGUGAGGGGUACAAUUACUUUGUUGAGAUGGGAAAUUUUGAAGAAUUGAAGAGGAAUAUGCAGAUUCUUAAGGGAAAUGGUGAAGAGUUGAAGAAGGAUGAUUUAGGAUGAAGAAUGUAGAUGUUUUUUGUCUGAAUGUAUACAAUAGUCAAUAUGUUUGGGAGAGUAGGAUAAGUAAUCCAAAUAAAAAGAAAAAAAAUGUCUUCGUAUUACUAUUUAAAGCAUUUUCCUACAUGAUUAAUUGUAAUUGAAUUCAAUCGCAUCGUUAAUAACUCAAUACUUUCUUUAAAUAUUUUCAAGCACUUCCCCACAAACAUUACCAAAUACUCCCUCCGGUCUCAUAUGUAAGCAAAAAAAAAAAUUUGGAGUCUCAAAUAUAAGCAAAAAUUAAUUACAAUGGUUACAAUUAAAUAUACCAUUCCAAUUUUACCCUCAAAUUUAGUUUUUCAAAUUUCAAUGUUUAUUCCUAUAAAUACUCCACUUUUUACACUUCCAAAAGGCAUUUAUUCUUAAACGUUGCAUUUGUAUCAUUGCUUUUGAAAGUCAUAUCCUAUUAUAAAUGGGCAGUUUCAUCUUGUAUAAAACUCCAUGAGUUUCUUGUUCUUUUUUUUAUACUCUAAAAAUGGCAAACCCAUAUACAUUAGCUAAUGAGUUUCCAUCUUUUGAUUUAGGUAUCGAGACAAUAAAAUUCCUGAAACAAUUCAAAACUCAAACAAUGAAAAGUGCAGAAAUAUCACUCCAAAGAAGUGAAAGUGAAAAUGCUCCUAACUCCAACAAAAUGAAAACACCAUGUUGAAUACUUAGAUAUGGAUGAGUUUGAUCUGAAAAAAUUACCAGACAUUGAACUUUGGGUCAAGAAGAAGAGGUUAAAGAUAUAGAUAAAAAUAUUACUUAGAUUAUUUAAACUAGGUGUGUUCUUAUUGGAUUUUUAUGAUGUUUAAUGUUUCUUUGUUGUUUCUAUUGCACUGUUAAAGAAUUGUACUGCUAUGUUCUUUAUUUGAUGUUUAAUUUAUUUUCUAUCAAUCUCUAUGGUAUUUGUUGGAUAAUGUCAUUGUCUAUUUUAUUUUUCAUUUGUUAAAAAAUUCUAACGUGCAGUACAGCUCAGUAAGCGAACUAACAUGCAUUCUUCAUGAAACUAACUAUAAGUCUAAUGUAAAACUAACUAGCAUUCUUCAUAUUUCUUCUUAUUGUAAUGUACAGUACCAAUAUGAAUAUGUAGUACAACACAUAAACUAAUAAGUCUAAUGUAACUAACUAGCAUUCUUAGCUAACGAAAUAUCCCGCCACUUUUCAUAUCUACCGCAAACUCUUUCGACCACAAUUUUUGUUCUUUUAUGAGACGCAUCACCUGUUUGAGAUACUUGCUUCCAAUUCGUAAAUACAUCGAUAGGAUACCGAGAUUUGGAUGCCAACCCAGUAUACAGUUCCGGAUUUUAGUUUCCACCACACUAUUCUUUAUCAAUAAUUGAGCAUUAUUUUCCGUGAUCAUCAUGUUUAAAAUGAUCUUUUUCCUAAAAGUUUUCAGGUUCAUGUUGAACCAAAUUGUGGACACUGCAUGAAAAAUUGAAAAUAUUAAGAACAUAGUUAUGCUGCUACGCUGACGUCUCAUUUUGUUAUACAUGUCUUAUUGACAAACAAAUAUGGCUCUGUAAUGAUAUGAAAAAAGAUGACACAGUAAUGAUAUGAACAAACAAAAAAUAUAUAUAUGAUAAAAUUCUACUAGCUGCAAUACUUUCAGUUUCUCCAUCACUUUCAUAUUGAUUAAAUUCAGUUCUCCUCUCAUCUUCUUCAUUUGGACAUAAAUUCACUCUCUGCAUUUUAUCAAAACAGUAAUAAAAGUGAAAAAAUUAAUUAAGCUUGUUCCAAAUUAUCUAACAUAAAGAUUAGAGCAUUUACCUUCUUCCAUAGACAUGAACUUCAUUUGAAUAUAAGAUCACAUCAAUGUCUCAUUAUAUUAAAAAAAACCUGUUCAAAAUCAUUUCUCACAAUUGAACAUAUUAGCUUCUUCCAUGUAUUCUUCAUUUGAUGAACACUCCAUGUAGGUCCUUAAAGACAAGUUAAAUUACUUGAAGAAGGAUCAUUUAGAUUAAUGGAUGGUGCUAUGUUGCAUUCAUCAUUUCAUGAUCAAUAUAUGAAGUGUUAGAUCAUUUAAGAGGCAUUUUAUGAGAACCAAAGAUAAUGAUACAGAAAAUGUAAAUUUUGGCUAUGAAAAUGAGAACCAAAAGCUUACGAUUUAUAGAACUCACUAUGAAAAUGUUAAAUUUCUACAGGGCCGACCAUGGAUAUUUAGGCAAGAGCGUGGAGAAUACCAGUAAAUGGACUAAGAAGUGUUGUUUUUAGGCGGGACAAAUUUCUACAGGAAAUUUUAGUAAGAGGAAGUGGAAUAUAUAACCACUAAAUGACUAACCAUUAAAUGGUAUUAAUAAAAAUUAACUAACCAUUAAAUGGUUAUAAUAAAAAUAUUAAUUUAUUUCUAAAUUAAUAAAUAAGGGUAAAUAUGGAAAAAAUUGUAUAUUUUCCAUUACUUAAAUGAAUAUAUAGCCACUUUCUUAAAGGGUGAGCUUUUUUUUUUUUGCUUACAUAUGAGACCGGAGGGAGUAUUAUAUUAAGUCUAGAUUGAAGGAGAUCAAGUUGAUUGAUCUUAAAUUUGGAAAAAUUUACAACUGAAUCAUCCAUCCAAAUUAAAGUAACAUUACUGAAAAGUUCAUUGGAUAGAGUUGGUAUAAAUACACCAAAAUAAAGAAGCUUUGUAACGGGAUGUUUUGACAUUCAAGAUUUAUUGGUUUUCAAAAUUCUUAUAUAUUAGUUUAAGGAGGAAGUGUUUGUUGUUGUUCGAAGUUUUAUUGUUGGGUUUAAGAAUUAACUGUUACAAUCUUAAUUAUGACUUUUUUAGUAUAUUUUAAAUAUUAUAAUUUUAUGAAAUUUACAUAGGAUUUUAAUUAUGUCACAAAUGGAUUGUUUUGGGUUGUAGUACAAUGCUCAUAGUUUAAUCCUAAGUAUAAUUAUGAGAUAUUAUGGUUCAUCAUUUUAAAAUUUAUUUUGAACUUAUUUUUAUUCUCUCUUAUAAUAACAAACAAUAGGUCGUUACACAGACAUAUCAUAUCAUUAAACAUUCUUGUGCGUAUGUACGGAUUUGUUAUUAAUUUUUUUUAUUAUAUCAACAAAACAAUUAUGGUAAAACAUCAAACUAAAGAACUGAAGAACUAAUUCAACACCCACUGUAUACGUCUACUUCACUAUACUUGUCAAACCAACUCAUUGCCCUAUCCAAACCGGCAAGAAAGAAAAAAAGUGUCACAAACUAAUAAAAUGAAUAAAGACUCAUUGUUUUCAAAUUUCAUUGAUUGAUAUAAUGAAUCAUAUAGUAUCAAAUUAAAUUAAUAGUGUCAACAUCUUCAUUCAUCUCAGAGACAUGUUGGCUGAAAAAGUGUCUCAUAUCAUCCAAUCAAACUUGUUUUAGAAAAGUCUUACAAAAAUAUCCAUUAAAUAUACAGUUGCCAGUUCUUUCAAAAAACACAAGUGGGAGACCCUCAUUAUUUUCAUUUAGUUUGUUACUUAUUGACUUAGCAACACAUGCACCUUUCUCACAGUUAGGUGUCAUGUUUCAUCAGCAUUUGAAAUAUGAAACAAGCUUUCUGGUUUUAAUUGAAUUUCAAAAGCCACAUGUCAACUUGACUAUAAAAUUAAAAAUGUCAAACCCUACUUGCCACACACACUCACAUGCAUCAUGCAUAAAUAAGACCUAGAAUCUACUUCACACACAAAUUGAGAGAACAAUGGGUGUUUGUUAUUCUUGCAAUACAUCCUCAAUAUUUAAAAACAUCAUAAGAGUAGUUCAUCUCGAUGGUUUUGUGGAAGAUUUUCAUCAACCAAUUUCAGCAAGCCAAGUUAUUGGAAAUCUACCAAAACACUUUGUUUGUACUUCAAUUCAGCUUCUUUCAUCAUCCUACAAACCAUUGAAACGGUACCAUACGUCAGGUACUCCAAGCUGAUGUCUGUCUCCGGUUGAUUUGGCUUUGCUUUAGCAAAGUAAGACUCACAGCCAAAGGCAAAAACUUAUGAUGAAUGGAGGAAGAAGCCCUUGUAGAAUGCAGUCAUGGAAACCUAUCUUGGAAACUAUUGCAGAGAAAUCACUCAACAGGAGAACUGAAUCAGAUUUGCAAGACAUUGUUAUCAAUGUUUAGAUGACAUGUAUGUCUGUAACGAUUAUGUAUCUGGUGUUCUUUGUGAAGUAGUAGGAAAUUUCUUCCUCAAAAGUCUAACCGUUCUCACUAUUAUUGCACCAUAAAAAAGUUGUAGGGAUCUUAUUUGAAAAGUCAUGCUCGCAAGGUCUUCAUUUUUUCAUUAAAAUUAAAGACUAAAGUAGACUUUCGAUAGUCAAACUAUAUAGUUAUCAUAAAUUAUGAGGUGGUAAAUUAACUGAUAAAAGUUUGACUUUGUAAUUUCAAGAAACAUAGUUCAGAUCUCAAGCAAACAUAAACUUGGUUGACUUUUAAGAGAAAUUUGAUAGACUAAAAGUGAUUUUGUUUAAUUUGAGAUAUCUACUUCAACAUCUUACCUAAAGAUUUAUAUUUUUUACUAUUAAUAAAAAGGUAUUUCAUAUAUAAAAAGUUGUAAUUACAAUAUUAAAUUAGAUCUAAUAAAAAAAUUUAUUAGGUCUCCUACUAAUAUUAUAAUUUAUUAUUUAUAGUCUAAUAUUAACAACACUGUGAAUGAAUAUCAAUCAUUAUAAAUUUAAGUUGAUUGAACUGUUGUUUUGGUAAAUCAUUUGUUGACACACAUGUGCCACCUAACUCUCAUAAUGAAUGUAGAUAGCAAUUAUCAAUCAUUAUCCAACUUUUUUUUUAUAAAAUGUCAAUCAAUCUCAAUUUAUUUUCUUGUGUCAUGUAAAAUAGGGUUAUCUAUAAUACUAAUAGCCAAUUUAUUAUCAUAAAACAACUUCAUGGAGCCUUCAAGAUGUAUCUUCAAGUCUUCUAACACUUGUUUCAUUAACAAAAAUUCAAAAACUUCUUGCGUCAUAACUCUAAAUUAUGUUUCAAUGCUUGAUCAAGAAAUUACACUUUAUUUCUUAGUUCUUCACGCUACUAGGUCCAUAUACAAGAAGGUAAAAUAUUCUGAAGUAGAUCUUACAUCUCUUAAUAAACCUAUAUAAUCAACAUCAAUGUAAGUUGUCAUAGUUAAACUUCCACAUCUUUUAAACAAGAGAUAUCUCUCUAAAUUGGUUUUGAGACACUAUAGAACACAUUUUAUAGUUUGCAAGUGUCUCUCCCUUGAAUCAUGCAUAAAUUGACUUAUCACACUAAAUACAUAUGUCAAAUGUGACCUAAUACAUUGCAAUUGCAAGUAAAUCAACUUCUCUACUAUUCUCUAGUACUCACCCUUGUCAACUUUGGCUACUUCCUCAUCAAGGCUUAUCUUAUGAUUAUGGCCAAUGGAUGACUUUGCAUCCAAGUUCCCAUGUAUCCUACAAAAUAUCAAGCACAUAUUUUCUAUGUUCUAUGAGAGCACUACUAUAAAUAAUAUACUUCAUGACAACGAUUUUACCUAACGUAUUGAAAAAUCGAGGUAUAAUUCUUGGAUGCACCCCGUUUCUUUUUUUAAAAAAUACAAUUAAUUUCGUCGGUUAAAUUGAAAUUUGAGGGAUAAACCUAUUCAGUGUACAUGCUUCGAAUUCCAUCGGUCCCAUUUUAUGUUUUUAUCUCAUUAAAAGUUGUCACUUCUUGAAUAUUUUAUUUUUAAUCUAAAAGUACACCAUAUUUCACCUCGUUUUUCUUUCUAACUGAGGUGAAUUUAUAUAUAUAUAACUUUAGCUUGUAGCAUUCAGUUUCACUUGUCUAAACAACAUAGACAAAACCCUAACGAAGAGCCCUUUACAAAAGAGACUUAAAUAACAAGAACCAUAAACACAUAUCAUCUUCAAUACGAAAAUGUUAUGCGUUUGGUGCUCUCGUUUCUUCUUCAGAAAUUCAAAUCAUCUUUUUUUACUUCUUUUUCAGAGAUCUGUUACGUUAAGCAACACUAUUAGUAUUGUUGUUGUUGUGGUGGUGGUGGUGGUGGUGGUGAGAUCCGAAACCUAGAGGUUUUUGUGUUAUGUUUGUUGUUGUUAUUGCUGUUUUUUUUUUCAAUAUUGUUGUUAUUUUUGUUGAGACCCUAAACCCUAUAGGUUGUUUAUUGACGUUGUUGUUAUUGAUAUUGUUGUUGAUACUGUUGAUUGUUUUUUAUUUUGUUGUUUGAUGUAAGUUGUUGUUUUUUAGUUUAGUUUAUUAAAUCGAUAUGUUGUAUUUUAGCUCUUGUUAUAGUGUUUGAGUAGAGAUUAAUAUUGAUAUUUAGAUUAUGUUUUUUAUUUAUUAUUAUUUGUGCUGCUCUCAUCUUGUUUUGUCGAGUUGAAUUUAUUAUAUCUAAUAUCGAUUAUUUAUUUCACUAACCUCUAUUUGAAGAUAUAACCAAGUGAAUUGUUUAAUUUGAGAUAUCUACUUCAACGUCUUAGCUAAAGGUUGAUAUUUUCUACUAUUGAUAAAAAAAUGUAUUUCAUAUAUAAAAAAUUGUAACUAUAAUAUUAAAAUAAGUUUAAUAAAAUUUGUAUUAGGUCUCAUACUACUAUUACAAUUUGAUAUUUAUAGUCUAAUAUUUACAACACUCUCUUUUAAGAUAGUGAAUGGAUAUGAAUCAUUACAAACUUGCAAGUAGAAGUUGAUUGAAUCGUUGUUUUGGUAAACCAUUUGUUAACACACAUAUUCCAUCUAAUUCUCGUAAUGAAUAUAGGUGGCAAUUAUCAAUCCAUUAUCCAACUUUUUUUAAAUAAAAUGUCAAUCAAUCUCAAUGUAUUUUCUCAUGUCAUGCGAAAAAGGAUUAUGUAUAAUACUAAUAGUCAAUUUAUUAUCGCAAAACAACUUCAUGGAGCCUUCAUGAUGUAUGCUCAAGUCUUCUAACACUUGUUUCAUACACACAAGUUCAAAAGCUUCUUUUGUCAUAACUCUAAAUUAUGUUUCAACACUUGAUCAAGAAAUUACACUUUGUUUCUUAGUUCUUCACGCUACAAGGUCCAUAUAUAAGAAGGUAAAAUAUCCUGAAGUAGAUAUUAUAUCUCUUAAUGAACCUGCAUAAUCAACAUCAAUGUAAGUUGUAUAGUUAAACUUCCACAUCUUUUAAACAAGAGACCUCUCUCUAAAUUGGCUUUGAGACACUGUAGAACACGUUUUAUAGUUUGCAAGUGUCUCUCCCUUGAAUCAUGCAUAAAUUAGCUUAUCACCACUAAAUACAUAUGCCAAACUUGGCCUAGUAUGUUGCAAGUAAAUCAACUUUCCCACUAUUCUUUAAUACUCACCCUUGUUAACCUUGGCAAUUUCCUCAUCAAGGCUUAUCUUAUGAUUCUGGAUUAUGGAUGACUUUGCAUCCAAGUUCCCAUGUAUCCUAAAAAAGAUCAAGCGCAUAUUUUCUAUGAGAACAAAUUACAAAUAAUACAUUUCAUGACAACGAUUUCACCUCACGUAUUGAAAAAUCAAGGUAUGGUUCCUGCACGCAUCCUGUUUUUUUUUAUAAAUAGAUAUAAUUAAUUUCGUCGAUUAAAUUGGAAACAGAGGCGUAAACCUAUGUUGUGUACAUGCUCCGAAUCCCAUCAGCCUCAUUUUAUAUUUUUAUCUAAUUAAAACUGGCAUCAUCUUGAAUAUUUUAUUUUUGAUCUAAAAGUACACCACAUUUCA